rnacentral:misc_RNA from 1 species
GAUGAAGAACGCAGCGAAAUGCGAUAAGUAAUGUGAAUUGCAGAAUUCAGUGAAUCAUCGAAUCUUUGAACGCACCUUGCGCCCUUUGGCAUUCCGAAGGGCAUGCCUGUUUGAGUAUCAUGAACACCUCAACUCUUCAUGGUUUUCCAUGAUGAGCUUGGACUUUGGGGGUCUUGCUGGCCUGCGGUCGGCUCCUCUCAAAUGAAUCAGCUUACCAGUGUUUGGUGGGCAUCACAGGUGUGAUAACUAUCUGCGCUUGUGGUUUUCCACCAAGUAACCUUCAGCAGUGGAGGUUCACUGGAGCUCACAGACGUCUCUCCUCAGUGAGGACAGCCCUUUGAAUGUUUGAUCUCAGAUCAGGUAGGACUACCCGCUGAACUUAAGCAUAUCAAUAAGCGGAGGA